GACGAACCGUGCAAACGUUAUUCGGAAUCACUGGGCUUAAAGGGCGCGUAGGCGGGCGGCCAAGUCUGUGGUGAAAUACUCCAGCUUAACUGGAGAACUGCCGCGGAUACUGGUUGUCUCGAGGGAGGUAGGGGCGCGCGGAACACUAGGUGGAGCGGUGAAAUGCGUUGAUAUCUAGUGGAACUCCGGUGGCGAAGGCGGCGCGCUGGACCUCUUCUGACGCUGAGGCGCGAAAGCGUGGGGAGCGAACAGG
rnacentral:rRNA from 1 species